AUUGCGGGGCUCAGAAAGUCCUUGCACAGUUUGCAGGGCCCAGAAGACCUGGGGGUCUUCCACUCAGGAAUCCGAGACUCAGGACACCUCUGACCAACUCCUCCCGUUGAGGACCUCGGUCUGGUCCUCCCACUCCCAGCCGGGAUCCCCCUCAUUCGCCUGGGGGGGGGGGUCCUGUGUUUUUGCGCCACUCGUGUGGCAGGAGACAGUUCACCCAGUGUCUUCCUAAACACUGCCUGGGUAACUCGAGGGAGCCGGAGAAGCGCUCAUAAUCAUACCUCUUUUCUGGAGAGGCUCGGCGAUGCCCAAGGCCGCACCAGGCAGGGUUUACGGAGCCGGACCCCGGUUCCUCCCCCUGCCUUGUACUUUCCAAGAUGCGGGGCAGCACCCUCCGACCCCCAGACCUCCCUGCUCCUCGGUCCCCGCUUCUAAUCCGCCAAGCCUCGGGCAGGUCCCUGAGCGGGGGUGGGGGGCGGCCGGGAGGCGCCAGACAAGCCAGCUGCCGCGGGAUGCCACGUGAGGGGCGGGGACCCUGCGGAGAAGUGAUUAAAAGCAGCACAGAGCCGCAGGGGGCCGCUGUGGGCAGGGUCUUCACCCGGCCGCCUUGCCCCGCCCCAGUCCGGCCGCGGCGCGGGUUCAAACGGCUGCGGGGCAGGCCUGGGUGUCCCGGGCAUGACCGGCGUGUGGGAGGCCGGGGGGCCCCGGUGCCAGGCGGCGCUCGCGGUGCUGGCUUCGCUGUGCCGGGCCCGGCCGCCCCCUCUCGGGCUGGACGUGGAGACUUGUCGGAGCUUCGAGCUGCAGCCCCCGGAGCGCAGUCCGAGCGCGGCCGACGCAGGCACCUCUGUCUACCUCCUCGCUGUGGUGGUUAUCGUGUCUGGCGUGGCCCUGGUGGCAGUUUUUCUCUUUCUCUUUUGGAAGCUGUGUUGGAGACCCUGGAGGAGCAAGGAGACCUCCAGCCCCUCGUCCGCUGCUGACCCCACCGAGGAGGCCCUCCAGAGCCCCAGCUCCCAAGGCAACAUGGCGGACAAGCUGAAGGACCCCAGCAGCCUGGGCUUCCUGGAAACGGCCGUGAAGAUCAGCCACACGUCCCCGGACAUCCCGGCCGAGGUGCAGAUGUCAGUCAAGGAGCAUAUCAUGCGUCACACGCGGCUGCAGCGACAGACCACGGAGCCAGCCUCGUCCACCAGGCACACGUCUUUCAAGCGCCACCUGCCGCGGCAGAUGCACGUCUCCAGCGUGGACUACGGCAGUGAGCUGCCGCCGGCGGCCGAGCAGCCCACCAGCAUCGGCCGCAUCAAGCCUGAGCUCUACAAGCAGAAGUCGGUGGACGGGGACGAGGCCAAGUCCGGGGCAGCCAAGAGCUGCGGGAAGAUCAACUUCAGCCUCCGCUACGACUACGAGAGUGAGACCCUGAUCGUGCGCAUCCUGAAGGCCUUUGACCUCCCCGCCAAGGACUUCUGCGGAAGCUCUGACCCUUACGUCAAGAUCUACCUCCUGCCUGACCGCAAAUGCAAGCUGCAGACCCGGGUGCACCGCAAGACCCUGAACCCCACCUUCGACGAGAACUUCCACUUCCCCGUGCCCUACGAGGAGCUGGCCGACCGCAAGCUGCAUCUCAGCGUCUUUGACUUUGACCGCUUCUCCCGCCACGACAUGAUCGGGGAGGUCAUCCUGGACAACCUCUUUGAAGCCUCCGACCUGUCCCGGGAGACCUCCAUCUGGAGGGACAUCCAGUACGCCACGAGUGAGAGCGUGGACCUGGGGGAGAUCAUGUUCUCCCUGUGCUACCUGCCCACUGCGGGCAGGCUCACGCUCACCGUGAUCAAGUGCCGGAACCUCAAGGCGAUGGACAUCACAGGCUACUCAGACCCGUAUGUCAAAGUGUCCCUGCUCUGUGACGGGCGGAGACUGAAGAAGAAGAAGACCACCAUAAAGAAGAACACGCUCAAUCCUGUCUACAACGAGGCCAUCAUCUUUGACAUUCCCCCCGAAAACAUGGAUCAAGUCAGCCUGCUCAUCUCGGUGAUGGAUUAUGAUCGAGUGGGCCACAACGAGAUCAUAGGAGUGUGCCGCGUGGGGAUCAGCGCCGAAGGCCUGGGCAGGGACCACUGGAACGAGAUGCUGGCGUACCCACGCAAGCCCAUCGCACACUGGCACUCCUUGGUGGAGGUAAAGAAAUCCUUCAAAGAGGGAACUCCCCGGUUGUGAUUUCAGUCCCGUGGAGGCUGCCAGCAGAGAGACUGCCACCCGGAGUUAGGAUGGCAGGGCCGAGCCGCCAGCUUCGACAGCGAGAGCUCGUGCCCGUCUCCGAAACCGCCUCCGACGCCGUGAGCUGCCCGGCCCGGCCACACGGACGGACGGGACUCAGCGAUGUUGCACCUGUCCUGCCGUCUGAGCACAGAGCUGUGCGCUCACGGCGGCGGCGGCGGCCCGCUUCACUCCAGAGUCUUGACUGCUCCCGCGUAGGCCAGGGCCGAGAUCCUUGUCGUGUGGUCAGAUCUGUCUUAGUCUUUCUGUCUCCCAAGGUGAUGUUUCUGUGAUUCUUUAUUUCACUUUUUAUGGAUCUGCUGUGGAGCAAGGGCGGGAAAACAGAAGCAGGACGAAACGAAAGGUAGAGAGCCCAGGAGUGGCUUCUAUAAAACACAGUGUAAAAUAGCAGUGUUUCCCAGAGAGGUGCAUGGGAUUCCUGAAGGUCUGCGUCUCCACCGAGCUCCACAGGCAUGGAGAAAGGAGGAAGUGGGAGGAGCUAUGCCUGCACCUGCAGCACCUGGCGAGCCCGGUCCGGACGGAUGGAAGAGCCUUUAAAGGCCGAUUACUGGUCUUCGAAGCUCUUCUCUGGCGUGACAUAAACCAAGACUGGGACUCCUGGUCCUGUGUGGAAAUGGCAAGACCCCCGAGGUGUGUGUGACCUGCCAGCAGGUACGUGCAGGGUCCCUUGCUCCCCAAUCUCGUUGUCUUUCCUCGUGAACUGCCAACCGUCUGGAUUCCCCUUGGGAACCGACUCUCUUUAGAAAUGAUUCUACUGAAAGGCAAUUCGCCAUGUUUUCUGAUGUGCCAUGGCUAAUGAUCACAUUUGUUUGAAAAUUGGGUCUUUGUUCUCGAAAAGAGCCUUCAUUGUGAAGAAAGAGGGACACAUAUAUUCUGGAAUGAUCUCUGCAUUAUACAUAGCUUUGUCAUUCCGUGAAAUAACAUGCUGCUGUCUCAAAUACCUCUGCAGAUCAAAGAAACAAUUAGCUAGAAUGGGGAGUUUUGAAAUCCAAGUACCAGUUCGAGUUUGCCUUUCUGUGGCAAGGGUGUUCCUGGUUGAGACGAAAGCAGUACAAGCCUAUUUCAGCCCUGUUGACUUUGGGACAAUAGUCGUCUUAAACUUUAGUUCUUUAAAUUCCUAAGAACUUCCUUGUUGUUUGUUUCAGUGGUUGUGAGGGGUUUGUUUUGGUUUUGUUUCCUUUUGAUCUCUACCUUAGGCCAACUUCAGUUUAGCAAAAAAAAAAAAAAAAAAUAUUUGAACCACUGCGUAUUGUCCCGGCCCGGUUCUGUUGAGUCCGUGGUGGCCUGCAUGCCACCUGUGGUAGCUCGGUUGGUUUGCCCAGCCUCAGUGGGGAUAGCCCUGCUAACCACACAGAAGGGGAGGUCCCACUUCCGCGUGUGACUGCACCGUGUCGUUGCCAGAGCUGUGUGCGUGGCUUACAAGAAGCAAGCCUGCUGAAGACUUGGAAGGCCAAGAACAUCAAUCACUCACGCACCUGGCAUCUUACUGUUUCUACACGUCGCGUGCUGUAGGAGCCACGGCUUGCCAGUUACCUUUCUUCCACAUCAGACUGACAGGUGUCUCUGCUGAGGGGCAUUGUCUUCUGUGGUCCAAGAAGUCAAUGGAGAGAAACCUGGACGCCCCCCUGUACUGAGCCCUGGGCUAGGCACCACUGUGUAAAGAUAGCUUUUCUCCCCAAGUCUCGUGAUGAAUAUAUCUUCUCCUCUUGAGAGUGAGGGGAAAACCCAAGGUCACAGCAGGACUCCUGGCGGGUGACAAACUUCACUUUGUUUCUUGACCCUAGACUGACCCCUUUCAGAUGGCACCUUGUUCCCUGGGCAGGCGGGCAGGCGCUGGGGGUACUGACACUAGAAAGGGGACAAUGGAGUUUCCCCGGGUCACAAGGAACCCACAAAUUAGCACAAGAGGGCGCUUCCAGAAGUGAGCUCAAAGUGCAUACCCAGUCAUCAUCUUGAAACCCUUGGGCAGGUGAGGAUGAGCCGUUGGCACCUCUGUGGGGAGGGUGCACGGUCUGUGCAAAUCACGAAAGAAUUUCCCUGGUCGGGAGGUUCUGCUUGUAUCUGAGCAGCUAUCUCCCAGCUGUUUGGGCGGAGUGUGACCCCAUACCACUGGAACCAACUGCUACCACCCACCCCAGGAAGGCCUUUGGCUCCUGGAGCCUCACGGCGCCCCCAACCAGUGCCUCAGGGGAGCCAGUCGGUCCUCAAUCUGCAGCAUGAAUGAAUCCCGAAUGUCUGCCAACUUCCUCAUCCGGCCCAGUCUCUCCCGCUCCGAGACAAGAAUAAAAAGAGACACCAGCGCCGGGACAAAGUGAAACAUAAAGUUGAUGCGUUGUUGGCUUCCUCUGACGUAAGACACCUCUGGGGUCGCUGUGUGUGCUUUGCUGACGUUGCCACGACUGGGGCCAUUUGCACAGAGAUUUAAAAAAAGAAAAAAAAAAAACACAAAAAAGUUUCCUUCUCCUUUGUUUUGCAGUGUUUCGGGGCUGAGAGAUGCCCCCUCCCUCUCUGCGCUUACCUGGGAUCCUGAUGAAUUGUAUCAUCAUUCACAAAGUUAUGUUGUUAAUUACUGCCUUGUGCGUUCCACCCCGUCACAGCCUGGAGUUUUUACUCAAUUAAAUCUCUGUCUCUUGCC